AAGACUAUACUUUGAGAUAUCAUUUCUAUAGUUUGUUACUAGCGAAGUUUCUCUAUUUUGUAGAGCAAUCGAAACCACGAGGAGGAGCCAGAGCAUCUUCCCUUGUGCAUGAAGCUAGUUCUAGGUGUUGCUUUUGCAACUGCUCUUUACCAUUGAUGACCACAUUUCUCUUCUUUUGGAAGACUGAGAGGGAGAAGAAGCAAUCUGAGUGG
rnacentral:snoRNA from 1 species